GUGGGAGGGGGCUUGCCCCCGAUAGCGCUGGUGAGUCAGCCCAUCUGCCACUGACCCACCGCAAUCGGGGGCAAGCCCCCUCCCAC
rnacentral:misc_RNA from 1 species